UGUGGAUUAGUGUAAUGGUAACAUCUUUGGCUCAUAAUCAGAGGAUAGAGGUUCAAAUCCUUUGUCCGCAA
rnacentral:tRNA from 1 species